rnacentral:lncRNA from 1 species
UCAUUGCCGGACACAUAAUUUAUUUGAAAAUUAAGGUCUUUCCGAAUCGACUUGACUUGCACAGAAAUGUUUGCCACUGGUCUUUACUCAAACAACGAUUCACUCAUAAAUGCAUUACUUAAAAAGUGUGAGGUAAAUGUAUUGUUUGUCUAGUACAUGUAUCUCGGAUCCGUUAAAUUACCCUUAAAACUAAAAAAAAAACAUUACCCCCUCC